AUCUUCAUUUCAAUCCUAAAUGGAGACAGUUUUGCCCUUUGGGCACAGAGACUGAAAGGCCUCCUCCCCUUUGGAAUUCAAAACAGAAAUGAAAAACAUCACUCUAAAAAAGGUCAAGAUUCAGGUUUCAGAGAUUUGCCAGUGCAACUGGGAACCAGACAUCAAAAAAAAAUUAAAAUACUACUUUCAUUUCUGGAACCACUUGACACAUCUGUAAGUGUCUAAAUGUAGCCUGUAUCAUGGACUAACCCACUGAUGAGAUCGUAAAAGUUUUGUGAGCGGAUACAGCCAAACUCUAUCUCCCAGGAUUCAAGGAAAUCCUUUUGUUUUCUAAAGUCAUUUCAAAGAUGCUAUUUAUCAUCCGUUGGGAGAAUGAAUAUUGAAGCAUCAGUGUUUUGCUUUCGGUCAGCUGUACAAGUCUACAAAGAGGAUGCUAAUCAAACUGGCAAAAAGAAGCAUUUACAGUUCAAAGAAGCCCCGUUUUUCAUAUUCAGCAGACGGAUUAAAGGGAGAGUUUGACUGUGAGAGUUUCAAGAGAGAUCGCAUCCAAAUUCAACUUCAACAUUUGGUUUUAGGAUGUUAAACUUAAACCCCAAAAUGCAAGAUCUCUGGGGAUUUUUUUGGCAAAAUAAAUGCUUGGUUUCUCUUCUGUCCUAAAGGUUUUGGACAUCCCAUUCCAAUAUAAAUCACCAUUUCACAGGAAGAUGGGAAUGAAAUUGCCUCAUAACUCUCCAGACGUGAAGAGCAUCUCUGAAGAAAAUUACGUACUUGUCAAAGCAAGGGGGAAUUUAUGUUGGUGUUCCUGAGAUGUGAUUUUAUUCCGUCUAUUUCCUUUGUGCACAUCAGAGCAACAAGAGAGACAAAAAACAACGAGUUUAUGGAUAUUUUUUUCACUCUGGUGCAUUUUUUGCUUCUAUUUUUCCCUUUUGUUUUCUUAUUCCCCCCUCCUUUCAUCUAUGUUUAUUGCCAGUGACAGUAAACUUCCAUACAACAAUGCUGUGAUGAUAGUAGCAAUGAUUUCUACCAGGAUAAGGCAGUUCAAACAAGCACAAAGAUGAUUUCCCCAUGGACAGUUCCAGAAGGUGUGGGUUACAUUUUUGAGUCCUACCCAAAACUGGCCAGGGACGAUUUGGAUACAAAAGUCUUGUUAAUGUUCCUUCCAAGCAGUGGCAUGCUUCCUGAAAUUAAAUUCUUUUCCCUAGAUUGCACAUUAUGGCUUGCACUUCCUGCAUUUUGUUUUCUGAAUUUAGAAGCUGCAGAAUCUUGUUUGCUUGGUAGGUUCACUGUAAAUGAUACAGUAAAAGUAGCAGAAAAUUUGGAGACAGCCACACCUGGGUUCAAAUCCCAGCUCUUUGCCUACCUGGCUGGGGAAGAUGUGCAACUUUUCUAAGCUUUUCUUAUUGGUUCAACAGGACUGCCCACUUCAUGUCACUAUUUUAAGGGUGAGAUGAGAGAGCUUCCAAAAUGAAAAGCUAUGUAGCUCUGCAGUUAGGAGCUGGGAUUCUUGAAUCACCAAGGAGUUUCAAGGUCACCUGGCU
rnacentral:lncRNA from 1 species